rnacentral:misc_RNA from 1 species
AACGCACAUUGCGCCCGCUAGUAUUCUAGCGGGCAUGCCUGUUCGAGCGUCAUUUCGUCCCUCAAGCCCCCCCGGGCUUGGUGUUGGGGCACUGCGUUACAGCGACGCAGGCCCUCAAUUAUAUCGGCAGGACCCUCGUAGGUUCCGGGCGCAGUAAUCAACUAUCGCCUCUGGGAGCUCGAUCGCCCUCGCCGUAAAACAACCAUUAAAACACCUUAAGAUUGACCUCGGAUCAGGUAGGAAUACCCGCUGAACUUAA